rnacentral:lncRNA from 1 species
UAAAUAUUGCAUCUAAAAGCUAAAGUAUUGCUUGCAGAAGACUAAAUACUGCUUUCAGAAGAUUAAAUAUUACUUCUAGUAAUCUAACACUGUUCCAGGAGACUAGAUACGGCGUCCAGAAGACUAAAUAUUGCUUCCAGCAGACUAAUACUGCUACCAAAAGACUAAAUACUGCUCUGAAAGACUAAAUACUGUAUUCAGAAGACUAAAUAUUGCAUCUAGAAGCUAAAGUAUUGCUUGCAGAAGAUAAAUAUUGCUUCCAGUAGUCUGACACUGUUCCAGGAGACUAGAUACGGCGUCCAGAAGACUAAAUAUUGCUUCUAGCAGACUAAUACUGCUACCACAAGACCAAAUACUGCUCUGAAAGACUAAAUACUGUAUCCAGAAGACUAAAUAUUGCAUCUAGAAGCUAAAGUAUUGCUUGCAGAAGAUUAAAUAUUGCUUCCAGCAGACUAACAUUGCUACAAAAGACUAGAUACGGCGUCCAAAAAACCAGAUAUUGUUCCUAGGAUACAAAUAUUGCUACCAAGAGACUGGAUACUGCUCCAGAAAACUUAAUAUUGCUUCUAGAAACCAAAGUAUUACUUCAGAAGACUAAAUGCUGCUUUUAGAAGACUAAAUAUUGCUUCUAGCAGACUAAUACUGCUACCAAAAGACCAAAUACUGCUCCCAGAAGACUAAAUAUUGUUUCUAGCAGACUAAUGUUGCUACCAAAAGAUCAAAUACUGCUUCCAGAAGACAAAAAAUUGCUUUCAGAAGAUUAAUACUGCUACUAAAAAAUUAAAUGCUGCUCUAGAAGGCUAAAUACUGCUUCCAGAAGAGUAACAUUGCGACUAAAAGAGUAGAUACUACUUCAAGAAGACUAAAUACUGCUAGUAGAAAGCAGAUAGUGACGGUAAAAAACAAGAUACUACUAAUAAUGACCAAAAUGAACUUCCUCCUUAUAGAAAAUCAGACAUUGUUAACUAAAUACUGCUUCCAGAAGAUAAAUACUACGUCUACUAGACUAAAUAUUGCUUUCAGAAGACUAAUACUGCUACUAAAAGAUUAGAUGCUGCUCUAAAAGGUCAAAUACUGUUUCCAGAAGACUAACAUUGCGACCAAAAGAGUAGAUACUGCUUCCAGAAGACUAAAUAUUGCUUCCAGAAGACCAAAUACUGCAGCCAAAAGACCAGAUACUGCUAGUAGAAAGCAGAUAGUGAUGGUAAAAAACAAGAUACUAUUAAUUAUGACCAAAAUGGACUUCCUCUUUAUAGAAAAUAAGACGUUAACUAAAUACUGCUUCUAGAAGACCAAGCAUUGCUUCCAGAAGAUAAAUACUGCGUCUACUAGGCUAAAUAUUGCUUGCAGAAGAGUAAUACUACUACCAAAAGAUUAGGUGCUGCUCUAAAAGGCUAAAUACUGUUUCCAGAAGACUAACAUUGUGACCAAAAGAGUGGAUACUGCUUCCAGAAGACUAAAUAUUGCUUUCUGAAGACCAAAUACUGCAGCCAAAAGACCAGAUACUGCUAGUAGAAAGCAGAGAGUGAUGAAAAUCAGACAUUGUUAACUAAAUACUGCUUCCACAAGAGCAAGCAAUGCUUCCAGAAGGUAAAUACUGCGUGUACUGGACUAAAUAUUGCUUUCAGAAGACUAAUACUGCUAUCAAAAGAUUAGAUGCUGCUCUAAAAUGCUAAAUACUGUUUCCAGAAGACUAUCAUUGCGACCAAAAGAGUAGAUAUUGCUUUCAGAAAACUAAAUACUGCUUCCAGAAGACCAAAUACUGCAGCUAGAAGACCAGAUACUGCUAGUAGAAAGCAAAUAGUGAUGGUAAAAAACAAGUUACUACUAAUAAUGACCAAAAUCAACUUUCUCUUUAUAGAAAAUCAGUCAUUGUUAACUAAACACUGCUUCCAGAAGACCAAGCAUUACUUCCAGAAGAUAAAUACUGCGUCUAGUAGACUAAAUAUUGCUUUCAGAAGACUAAUACUGCUAUCAAAAGAUUAGAUGCUGCUCUAAAAGGCUAAAUACUGUUUCCAGAAGACUAUCAUUGCGACCAAAAGAGUAGAUAUUGCUUUCAGAAAACUAAAUACUGCUUCCAGAAGACCAAAUACUGCAGCUAGAAGACCAGAUACUGCUAGUAGAAAGCAAAUAGUGAUGGUAAAAAACAAGUUACUACUAAUAAUGACCAAAAUCAACUUUCUCUUUAUAGAAAAUCAGUCAUUGUUAACUAAACACUGCUUCCAGAAGACCAAGCAUUACUUCCAGAAGAUAAAUACUGCGUCUAGUAGACUAAAUAUUGCUUUCAGAAGACUAAUACUGCUAUCAAAAGAUUAAAUGCUGCUCUAAAAAGCUAAAUACUGUUUCCAGAAGACUAAUAUUGCGACCAAAAGAGUAGAUACUGCUUCCAGAAGACCAAAUACUGCAGCUAAAAGACCAGAUACAGCUAGUAGAAAGCAGAUAGUGAUGGUAAAAAAUUAGAUACUACUAGUAAUGACCAAAAUGAACUUCCUCUUUAUAGAAAAUCAGACAUUGUUAACUAAACACUGCUUCCACAAGAGCAAGCAAUGCUUCCAGAAGAUAAAUACUGCGUCUACUGGACUAAAUAUUGCUUUCAGAAGAUUAAUACUAUUACCAAAAGAUUAGAUGCUGCUCUAAAAGGCUAAAUACUGUUUCCAGAAGACUAACAUUGCGACCAAAAGAGUAGAUAUUGCUUUCAGAAGACUUAAUACUGCUUCCAGAAGACCAAACACUGCAGCCAGAAGACCAAAUACUGCUAGUAGAAAGCAAAUAGUGAUGGUAAAAAACAAGAUACUAUUAGUAAUGACCAAAAUCAACUUCCUCUUUAUAGAAAAUUAGACAUAGUUAACUAAACACUGCUUCCAGAAGACCAAGCAUUGCUUCCAGAAGAUAAAUACUACGUUUACUAGACUAAAUAUUGCUUUCAGAAGACUAAUACUGCUACUAAAAGAUUAGAUGCUGCUCUAAAAGGCUAAAUACUGUUUCCAGAAGACUAACAUUGCGACCAAAAGAGUAGAUACUGCUUCCAGAAGACCAAACAUUGCUUCCAGAAGAUAAAUACUGCGUCUUGUAGACUAAAUAUUACUUUCAGAAGAAUAACAUUGCUACCAAAAGACAAGAUAUUACCAGUGAAGAUCAGAACCUGCUUAUAGAAGAUUAGACAAUUAUGACAGAAGACUAAAUACUGUUUGCAGAUGAUUAGAUACUACUCGUGAUGAUAAAAAACAAGAUACUACACCAACGAAAACCAGUAUCUGUUUAUAAGAAAUUAGACAGUGAUGGCAGAAGACUAAAUACUGUUUCCAGAUGAUUCGAUACUACUAGUGAUGGCAAAAGACAAGACACUACGUGAGGACCACAACCUCCUUAUAGAAAAUUAUACACUGAUAGCCAAUAUAAACAACAGUGAUUAAGAAGAAUAACAUUAAAAUUUCAAAAUAUUUUAAUAAACCUGCACAAUUAAAAUCAUUCAAAGCGGGCCUGUUUUUACUAUUCAACAGUAAAAAAGAGAAAUAAUUUGUUGAAAAUAAUAUAAGAUGACGCCCGUUUUUUCUAAUAGCUUUCAUCAAUUCUUGUAGAUUUAAAAUAUGCUUAAAUCAAACUUUCUCACUAUCAACUCAUUUUAAUCAGCAAAAAUUGACGUUUUGAAAUGUCAAAAAUAAGAUUUAAUUCGAGUAAUUACCGAUAGAUGGAGUGACAUAUUACAACAUAACCUAUAAUAUACAUUUAACGUAAUUUAAAAGUU